rnacentral:rRNA from 1 species
CCUACGGGAGGCAGCAGUAAGGAAUAUUGGUCAAUGGACGAAAGUCUGAACCAGCCAUGCCGCGUGAAGGAUGAAGGCCCUCUGGGUUGUAAACUUCUUUUAUCUGGGACGAAAAAAGCUCAUUCUUGAGCACUUGACGGUACCAGAGGAAUAAGCACCGGCUAACUCCGUGCCAGCAGCCGCGGUAAUACGGAGGGUGCAAGCGUUAUCCGGAUUCACUGGGUUUAAAGGGUGCGUAGGUGGGUCUGUAAGUCAGUGGUGAAAUCUCCGAGCUUAACUCGGAAACUGCCAUUGAUACUAUAGGUCUUGAAUCAUCUGGAGGUAAGCGGAAUAUGUCAUGUAGCGGUGAAAUGCUUAGAUAUGACAUAGAACACCAAUUGCGAAGGCAGCUUACUACGGGUGCAUUGACACUGAGGCACGAAAGCGUGGGGAUCAAACAGGAUUAGAUACCCUGGUAGUCCACGCCCUAAACGAUGGAUACUCGACAUCAGCGAUACAUUGUUGGUGUCUGAGCGAAAGCAUUAAGUAUCCCACCUGGAAGUACGACCGCAAGGUUGAAACUCAAAUGAAUUGACGGCUGAGGACGNGCGAGGCGACACGAGGGAGAGG